UGUGUACCCAGACUUGGAGGUUAAAUCCCUAAUGUGCCCUCGCUUUUGACAUGUCCAUUGGCGGAAUACACUCCAUCUUCUUCGACUAGGGGAGUGAAAAAUUGGAUUCAAAAUCUCAUUCAAUUUGGGGAGCGGCUGGGUCGCGGAGAGGGGUUACCACAUCCAAAAAUUGCAGGGAAAGAGACCGCAAUUCCCUUUUCAGCUUUUCCUUCUCCAUAUCUGGAAGCGUAAAGCACAAUACUGCGCGCUGUGCAGAUCGGAAAUUGUCGUCGACUUCACAUCUGCAGGGUAAGUAAAGGUUGGAAUCUUAUUUUUCACUUAUGUCGAUUACGUCUUCUACAAAUACGAAACUGUAUUAACAAAUGUGGCUUGUCUAUGAUUUUCCAUCUAUGUUGGCCCAGAUGAUGUCUGUUUAGGUGGUUUUGGACCCGCUUAUGUCUUAUCAAUCUUGAUUCAUUUUGUAUGUAAUUCGUAGGUCGUGUCGGCUUGUGUUCACCUUUUUAACUGAAUCUAAACUUCAGUGGGAAGCUCUUAACUGUAUAAAUUAUGCAAAUGUCGGUUUGUUGUUGUAUAAAUUAUGCGAAUUUCGUUGCAGCAAAUUAUCUUGUGUGAACUGACUUGAUUGGAAGAUGAGGCAACCAAAUGUCAAUUAUGCUUGGCUAUGUCAGAUGGUUGAGGAUAUUCUGUACAUAUUUCGGAGGGGAGACAUUUUUGCUUGUGCAUAGGUAUCUGAGGGCUCACACAGGCUGUUCGAGGCGUCGAAUCCUCGAGACGGCUAAACGGUACAAUGUGAUUUGUAGGGUACCUAAACAACUGCAUAGAAUUGGCAGUCUACUUCAUUUGAGUGAUGCAUACUGUGUUGCCAAUAUACGAAUGGAUCGUAACACAUUCGCACGUCUAUGUUAUCUUCUCACUGAGCGUUGUGGGAUGCAUACUGGCAAGGUCGUUGGGGUGGAGGAACAAGUUGCCAUCUUUCUUGGAGUUCUUGCGCACCACAAAAAGAAUAGGGAAGUCGGGUUUGAGUUUUGGAGGUCGGGGGGCCACUGUUUCAUACUAUGUAAACAAGGUCUUAGGAGCUGUUUUGUCCUUGCAUUCAAUUUGGCUUUCAAAACCUACACCAGUCACUGACAAUUGUGCUGAAAAUUGCUGGAAAUGGUUCAAGGGUUGUCUAGGUGCUUUGGAUGGCACACAUAUACCCGUGUUAGUCAGUAGCUCAGACAAACCUCGGUACCGGUCUCGGAAGGGGCAAAUAGCUACAAACACACUAGCUGCCUGUGACCGUAACAUGCAAUUUGUUUAUGUCCUGCCAGGAUAGGAGGGAUCAGCUGGGGACUCUCGUGUGUUGAGGGAUGCGCUGUCAAGGGAAAAUGGACUCAAGGUCCCACAAGGAUACUAUUAUUUGUGCGAUAACGGUUACGCCAACAGCAAUGGGUUCCUAACGCCUUUUAGAGGUGUUUGGUACCAUCUCAAGGAAUGGGGUGCAGGUACCGAGGCCCCACAGAAUGCAAUUGAACUGUUUAAUAUGCGUUAUACAAAGGCGCGUAAUGUUAUCGAGCGUGCUUUUGCCGUGCUAAAGAUGCGUUGGGGGAUCCUUCGUAGUACGUCGUUUUAUCCAAUAAAAACACAGAUCCGUCUAAUUAUGGCUUGCUUCUUGUUGCAUAACUUCAUCCGCCGUGAGAUGCCCGUGGAUCCGAUAGAAGCCGAAUUAGAUGGUGCCCAGUACAACCCAAUACUUGAAGAUGAGGGCAUUGGUACACAGUUUGUUGAGUCCGUUGAGCCAACCACCGACUGGACCCAAUUACGAGAGAACAUUGCAACAGAAAUGUGGAUGAAUAGAUGAUUUGGAAUAUGUUAUUGUUUGACAUGUGUGUUCUAACAUUAUCACUUCAACCUUUAUCCAUCUCUGUUAUUGUUUGUAUUUA